GAUGAACGCUAGCUACAGGCUUAACACAUGCAAGUCGAGGGGAAACGGCAUUGAGUGCUUGCACUCUUUGGACGUCGACCGGCGCACGGGUGAGUAGCGCGUAUCCAACCUUCCCAUUACUGUGGGAUAACCUGCCGAAAGGCAGACUAAUACCGCAUAGUCUUCGAUGACGGCAUCAGAUUUGAAGUAAAGAUUUAUCGGUAAUGGAUGGGGAUGCGUCUGAUUAGCUUGUUGGCGGGGUAACGGCCCACCAAGGCUACGAUCAGUAGGGGCUCUGAGAGGAAGGUCCCCCACAGUGGAACUGAGACACGGUCCAAACUCCUACGGGAGGCAGCAGUGAGGAAUAUAGGUCAAUGGACGGAAGUCUGAACCAGCCAAGUAGCGUGCAGGAUGACGGCCCUAUGGGUUGUAAACUGCUUUUGUAUGGGGAUAAAGUUAGGGACGUGUCCCUAUUUGCAGGUACCAUACGAAUAAGGACCGGCUAAUUCCGUG
rnacentral:rRNA from 1 species